AAGCCUCGCCUGUUUACCAAAAACACCGCCUCUUGCAAAAUUAAUGAAUAAGAGGUCCCGCCUGCCCUGUGACUCUAAGUUUAACGGCCGCGGUAUUUUGACCGUGCGAAGGUAGCGCAAUCACUUGUCUUUUAAAUGGAGACCUGUAUGAAUGGCAAGACGAGGGCUUGACUGUCUCCUCUUUUAAGUUAAUGAAAUUGAUCUCCCCGUGCAGAAGCGGGGAUAAAGCCAUAAGACGAGAAGACCCUAUGGAGCUUUAGACACGAAGGCAGCCCCUGUUAAACACCCCUACUCAAAGGGUAAAACCAAGGGGGCCCUGCUCUAAUGUCUUUGGUUGGGGCGACCGCGGGGAAACACAAAACCCCCACGUGGAACAGGACCACCUAUUCCUCAAACAGAGAGCUCCCGCUCUAAGGAACAAAAUUUUUGACCUCCAGAUCCGGCAAAGCCGAUCAACGGACCGAGUUACCCUAGGGAUAACAGCGCAAUCCUCUUUUAGAGCCCAUAUCGACAAGGGGGUUUACGACCUCGAUGUUGGAUCAGGACAUCCUAAUGGUGCAGCCGCUAUUAAGGGUUCGUUUGUUCAACGAUUAAAGUCCUACGUGAUCUGAGUUCAG
rnacentral:rRNA from 1 species